rnacentral:rRNA from 1 species
UACGUAGGGGGCUAGCGUUGUCCGGAAUCAUUGGGCGUAAAGAGCGUGUAGGCGGCCCGGUAAGUCCGCUGUGAAAGUCGGGGGCUCAACCCUCGGAUGCCGGUGGAUACUGUCGGGCUCGAGUACGGAAGAGGCGAGUGGAAUUCCUGGUGUAGCGGUGAAAUGCGCAGAUAUCAGGAGGAACACCGAUGGCGAAGGCAGCUCGCUGGGACGGUACUGACGCUGAGGCGCGAAAGCUAGGGUAGCGAACGGG